UCCUCGGCAGCCCCUCCCAGAAGUGGGGUAGGUGAAGGCAGGUUGGCGUGGGUGGAGAGGUGGGGCAUUUUUUAGUAGCUCUCUCAAUGGAAGAUGCGCUCCAAGUCUUGCAAAAGGAUAGGGAGGUGGCCCAGGCCCGGGAGUGCGCAUGUAAGGGUUGAGGAGAAGGCCUGCGACGACGGAGGAGGGGUGAGGGCUGAGAGAGAGGAUCGCCUUUUUGGUUCUGUUCAAGGUGUUGGGGUUGCUUCUCAGAGGGGUCAGAGCCGCAACUCAGUGGCCACGGGGCCUUGGAGACAAGCGCUCACCCCUCCCUUUCUCCUCCUCAGACCUGCGGGCUUUUGUUAUGCAGAUGGCGGCGGGAGGCUGAGCCAGAGAAGGAGGGGUUGCUGGGGAAGGAGGAGACGGAGAAGGGGAGGGAGGAAAGUACAGCUCGCGCGACCAGCCUCCCUUUUCAACGUCACAUUGUGCAAGAGACAAAACCCGGGCGCGCCGGAGCUCACACGCGCACGCACGGCAGACGCCCCGGUCGCCUCCUCUCGGUUCUCUGCGCGGUAGAGAAAGCCGGCCCAGCUUUGCUUUGCGGAGGACGCGGAGCUCAGCCUGCUCCCACCGCAGCUCAGAACCAAGCCAAGAGGUGAACCCAGCCGGUGGACCACCUUCUUUCUCCGCUGCCUGCCUAGACCAGAGACGUCCCAUUCUAUCCCAUCCCCCGCUCUGAACUCCGAUCUCUCCCCACCCCACCCCUUGGGGGUUUCACGCGGACAGCGCCCCGGAGCCCAGGGCGUGUCAUCGGGUUUGGAAUCCACGUUUCAGCACUUCGGACAGCGCCCCGGGCUCUUGGGCUUUCAGGAUGGCGAGCCUGCAGCAAGGCGAGAAACAGCUGUUUGAGAAGUUCUGGAAAGGGACCUUCAAAGCAGUGGCCACUCCGCGUCCCGAGAGCAUCAUCGUCGCCAGUAUCACAGCCCGCAAGCCGAUGCCAAGGACAGAGACACAGAGCAGUCUCCUGCUCCCAGACCAGGACGGACCUUCAGAGAAGCUGGGCCAACGUCUGGCCACUGAGGCCCUUGGUACCAACAGCUGGGGAAGAGAGAAAGCCUGCAGGGAGCUGGGUCCUGCCAGAGCACACAGUGCCUCUCAAGACAGAGACCCGACACCACCACCUUCCUCCAGGGGGAAAAAGAAAAAGAAGAAAUCGACCAGGAAAAAGAGGAGGAGGUCCCCAUCGUACAGCCCCUCUCCAGUCAAGAAGAAGAAGAAGAAAAGCUCCAAGAAACAUAAGCGACACAGGUCUUUCUCCAAGAAAAGGAGACACAGUUCCUGCAGCCCUAAAAGCAAAAGACGGGAAGAGAAGAGGCACAAAAAACAAUCUCGAAGCCGGAAGUCUCACCGACAUAGACAUCACCGAUGCCCCUCAAGGUCCCAGAGCUCAGAACUGCGCUCCCCCAGCUGCGAGAGCAGGCACCGAGGUCGGUCUCCUGAGGAAGGGCGGAAAUCCCGCCGAACACAUUCCCGACGCUGCUCCAAGAACCACUGCAAGGUCAGCCCAGAGGCCCGGUCCAGCCACCUGCCCAGCCAGCCCCUCCAGAGGCUCGGCUUCCUGUCAGCCAGGGGUGUAAUCUCUGGGUCGGGGUCCACGGCUGAUCUCUUUAGCAAAUCGGCCAGCCCGCUCGCCGCCUCCCGAGGGCGCUCGCAGGAGUACGACUCGGGCAAUGACACGUCCUCGCCGCCCUCCACGCAAACCAGCUCGGCCAGGUCUCAGGGCCAGGAGAAGGGGAGCCCCGGUGGGGAGCUGAGCAAGAGCCGGGACCUCAACUGCGGCAACACUUCCGAUUCAGGGAACUCCUUCACCACAUCCUCCCCCCAGAACAAGGGGGCUGUCUUAGAGAAUGUCUCUCCCGCCUGCAGGAGCAGUGAGUCAAGAGGGUUUCAGUCUCCAUGUCUCCAGUGCGCAGAGGUGAAGAAGUCUAGUUUGGUCCCAUCCACAGCCCGGAGCUCCCCCAUUAAAGAGUGCUCCCGUAGCUCCUCCUACACCAGUACUCGGUCCUCCAGUCCCUCAUCCAGGUCUCCAAAUCCCAGAGCCUCCCCCGGGUCCACCCGGAGCCGGUCCACCUCCUCUGAAAAAAGGUCCUACUCUCGCUCUCCCAGCUAUUCUUCCAAGUCUGGCAAGAGGAGCCCACCUAGCAGAAGCUCCAGGUCUCGUCGAAGUCCGAGCUACUCCCGCUACAGCCCCAGCAGGGAACGGGACCCAAAGUAUGGUGAGAAGGAACCACAGCCCCGAGAACGUGCACGCAGGAGGCGAAGGUCCUACUCGCCUAUGAGGAAGCGCCGGAGAGACUCCCCAAGCCACUUGGAGGCCCGGAGGAUAACCAGUGCCCGCAAACGCCCCAUCCCCUACUACCGACCCAGCCCCUCCUCCUCCAGCAGCCUCAGCAGCGCCUCCUCCUGGUACAGCAGCAGCAGCAGCCGCUCUGCUAGCCGCAGUUACUCCCGGAGCCGGAGUCCCAGUCGGAACCGCAGCAGCCGAAGCCAGACCAGGAGCAGGACGCGGACCAGCCGCAGCUCCAGCUCCCGCAGCCUCAGCCUGGGCUCCCGGAGCCGCAGUCGGAACCGGAGCCUGAGCUACAGCUCAGCAGAAAGCUAUGCCAGCACGAGGCGUUAAGCGAAGGCCCUCCGUCGAGCCAGCUGCCCUCCGGGAAGACCCCUCUGUCCACCGGGAGGACCCCCCUCUGUACUCUGCAGUCUCCUUUACUACCUGCCCUUCAGACCAUCUCCUGAGUGACAGAUACAGAAUGCUCCUGGCUCCUGUCCUCUCAUGUCCUGGGAAGAUGGCAUGGGAGACAGGGACUUCUAUUCCUUUGCCAAGCUGCUAGGAGCCUCUCUACCAGCACCAUCCUGGGGCUCACCGGGGCAGAUAGGGAGGGCCAACUGUGGAUCCAUGACUCAAAAGUUUGGGCCUGGCCAAGAUAUGGAGAUGGCUCUGUUCCAGUCAUCUACUGUUCACAGGGCAUCUCCUAGAGGCCAGGGUUAAUCCACCCUCACCCACACCACCCACCUUCCUCCCUUAUUCUGUCUCAUGGCUGCAAAGUUUGGAACCAGUGUUGGGAAAAGAGGAGAUCAAGGGUGGUUGAAAUUCAAGAUAAGAGCUCAGAGCUUUUACCUCCAGCUCCUGGGUCCUGCUAGGAGAGGUCAGACACGAGCAUGGGAGGAGGAUGUUAGUGUUGGUGGCAAUAGGUUUCAGGGAAGUUUGGAAAUGGUCUCUCUAUAAGUAUAACUUCAAAGAGACGGGUCAACUGCCUUCCUAGUAGGUCAGCAUCAUCAAGGAAGGAAGCCCAGCAGGUUCCAGCUUUAUGGAGGCCCUUACACAGGGUCCUGUGACAUCACAGGGGUACUAAGGAGACAGUGGAACCGUCCACAUACCUUGGGCUACAGCCCUACUUCCCAAAUUUGCCUCAUCCCCAGGAGCUGGCACAAAUUUGAUUCCACGGGACCAUCUGUUGAGCAUUCUCAGUGCUGUGGCCAGCAGCCAGCCCCCAGCGCCAGCCAGUCUGCCCUUGCCCUCCAGUUGGCGCCUGCCAGCCCCCUCCACAUUGCCCAGACUGCCACACCCUGGAUUCUACCCAGGGCAUCCUGGCACCUGCUGUCCUACAUGAAGACCACUCUCUUUUCCUCUCAGGAAUUUUGCCGAGACAGGGCACUGCAUUGUAAAUCAGUGUUGUUGGGGGGAAGACUCAGAUUCAGAGAGUCUGUGACAGAGGGACUUGAAUGGUCCCUGUCUCAGGCUCCUGCUAGCUUCUGAGUUUGUGGUCAGCAUAGGGAAGCCCAAUUGCACUUAAGGAGUACCACGCAUAGGAAGGGUAUAGAAGUACCCUCCCGCCCAAGGCUGGCCAGCAAGAGUAAGCUGCCUUCUGACACAUAAAUGCCACCAGCUGCUUUGCCUGCAGAAGAUAUUGGGAACAGGCAGGCAAGAGAGAUGGUCCUUAAAAUAAACCCUUGGGCAUCCCCCUCACCAGCUGCCUGGCUCUCUGAGCCAUGUGGGUAUCAAGUUUGUGAUGACAACAGUUGAGCAGAGCCAGGGCACAUGGAGAAAGAGCUUCUCUCCCAGCUUUGGAUAGUGGCAAGGACAGACAGCAUUACCUAUCCUUCUUGCCUCAAGAAAAACAUAUGGGGGGGGUGGGAGGGUGGGAAUUUCCAUCAUAAAAGCAGUGAUCUCCCCAUACCAAUCUUUCCCAGCCUAUCAUGGUGCCUGGGGGUCCAGUGAGCACCAGAGAAGUUCAUCGUCCAUCAGGAGAGGAGGAGGAUCAGUGACUGUAUCAUGGCUUCUGGCCCAGACCAACACUCCACUAACACAAACUUGUGGAUGCCUAUGCAGACACCACGGGAGGCCAGAUGGAUGCCAACCAAGUCAACGAAGCCUCAUCUUUUUCACGGAGACAAAGGCUUCCAGGAGCCACAAAACCCUUCCCAGCAGGACAGCUUGUGAAGGCAGGAGCCUGCCCGGAAGACACAGACUAUCUCCGUUCAAACCACUCUAGGGGGACCGUUUUGCCCGGGGCUCCUAGCAAACUUUUUAUUUAUUAGAUUUAUUUAUUUUUUAUUUAUUUAUUAUUUAUGUGAUGAGCUCUCUUUCCUCACCAUUAGCGGCAUUUCAUUAUUUAUUUGUGUAUUUAUUCCGAGAGAUUGUGUACUUUUUUUUUUUUUUUUUUGGUUCUUUUUUUCGGAGCUGGGGACCGAACCCAGGGCCUUGCACUUCCUAGGUAAGCGCUCUACCACUGAGCUAAAUCCCCAGCCCCGAGAUUGUGUACCUUAAUAUGUGGUCAUGCGUGUAUUUGGUGGAAUCUUCUAAAUUAUUUGUGUAUCUCUCUUUUUUUUAACCUGUUGCUAUGGCUGCAAUGGGAGAGGCCAGAGGCAUCUUGGUCUUUUUCAUGAAUGCUCUAAGCCCUCAAUAUGCUGGGGUGGACCCAGAAGUGUACCCAUCCCAAAGCUUAUAUCAUUUAGGUUGAUGUCAGUGAGGUUUGGGCCUGUGCCUCAACCCCAUGUACACCUGCUUCACUGCUAGCAUAGAGAUAACAGAAAGAUGAAGUCAGCCACAGAGCUCAUGAUCCUCAAUUCAGGGCUGGAGCCUGACAUUAGCGGGUAAAGCUACACACAGUUUAAAGAGCUGUGAAGGACUCUUUGAAUGAUUGCCUACAGUCAGAGUAUUAUGUCUUGUCCAGAUGGCCAGUCUCCUACGGCAUGCAUGAUAGAGCCAUUCCCUUGUGGUUGGAGAACCUCGAGGGUAAGAAUAGUUUGAUACUAGCAUUGCUCUUGGAGACAAAGUAUCAUUCUGAUGAGACAAAGUAUUCUGAUGAUGUUUGACUGAUACUCAUAUCCCGAAGGAAAGGCAAGAAUCUCAAUGUCAGCAGAAGGGAUCCAAUCCUUUUUAUGAGCAGAACCGAUUGGUUUCCUGUAAGUUACACCUACCUGCUUCUCCUUCACAUCUAGCUUUGAGAUCAGAAAGUUUACCUGCGUUGUCUGUGGUAGGCAAACACUGUUCUGUGAAGAGGGCACGGGCCGUCCUGGGGGAAACCUGCCACCCAAAUCAAACCUCCUUUUGCUAUGAUCAUCAGCUGUUCCAUUAGGGACAGCACAAAGCUACUUCUGAAACUAGAAAAUAAAAUACAGACAGAGGGUGACAGCCAGAUGUCCUCCCAAAAGGUCACUUCUAAGCUCAUGCUGCGAUCUAAGACCUAGAGACCUUUCUCAGUCCUGUCCUAACCAACUGGCAGUGACUUUCUGCCUGCUGGCUACAGAGAGCUCUUGCCCUUUCAGAAGUCAUUCUCCAGGGCCUUGGGAGUGCCAGAUUGCCUGGUCCAGCUGUGGGUUCUCCAGCACAUCCCUGACUCUUCCCAUCAACAUGGCAGCCAUGCUUUCAGCCAAGGGAUAUUCUUCCCUUGGGAACAGUUUUCAGAAGGUUCUUUAGAUACCUCUAAGGCUAAAAUACACGGCUCUCCUGCUUCUCCCUCCCCCUUCUCCCCUUCCCCCUCCUCUUCCUUCUCUCCCUUUCCUCUCCCCCUCCUCCCCCUCCCUCCUCCUGCCCCUUCCCCUCCUUCUUCCUUCAUUCUCAUCCCCCAUUCCCUUUCUCCUCUAUACUGCUUAUCUUUCCAAGCAAACAUAGAACUCUUUGCAGGACACUGAUAAACUUGGUUAAGUAGAGCCACCACACUCAGGUGUAUCCACUCACUGUACUCUCAUAACUUUCUGCUCCUAGAGAAUACCACCACUUGAAAGUGGGUUGUAGCUGUGUUUGUACAGCAACUAGCAUUCUGUGUGGCAUUGGCUAUUAAGGGUGAAGGCUUAGUUCAACCACCCACAUCCAAAAUGGGUAGAGCUUUAGACCGAGGUGAAGCAACAGGUUGCCAGUGCUCCUUGACCUUCUGUGCUGGGCGAGCUCUACAGGAGUGAAAUGGGGCUAAGUGUUACCUUGUUGUGGGCCAUUGUUCCCACCAAGUGAGGUGGAGUAGUUGACAAAUAUUUCCAGACUGAGAUGUGAGAGAGGCAACAAACAAAAUAGGUAUCCUGGAGACUCAGGGAGGAGAAGAAUCUUGAAAUGCUGCAAGGAGGCUCCCAUUCUCGAGAAGAAGCUAAAAAUAGCACCUGAAUUCCUAACCCGGGGUUGCCAGCAAAGACCAUUCAUGUCCACCCAAGUUGGGACACAUUCCAGACUCUCCUUGAGACCUCCUUUGGGGUGACUCAGUUUUUCAGGAGUAGAACACAAUGGAACUGUUGGAAAGGGAUUUGGGUCUCGGUCUCAGAGAGCCCCAAUCCCUACAUUUCUUUGAUCUAGUCUCUCUCCCAAAAGGGUUUGCUUGAAGAUUUGGGAUGCUACCAAAGGUUGAAGAAAGCAGUGAGUUUUGUCUUUCUGGAAGCUGACUUCCAACGUUGGCUGUGUUUGUUUGUUUGUUUGUUUGUUUGAUUGUUUUCUGCUGCGUUUUCCUCCAUGGUGCCAGGGGUAGGUGCAAGACCUCAUGCACAUUAGACAAGGAUUCUGGCAAUCGCACCACACCCUCAGUCCUGUACUAGAUUCCCUUGCCCUCACCCUCUUCUGUGUAUAUUCUGAAUAGUCUCAUGGGUACCUGUGCCCCAUCUUGGUUUUCCCUCUGCUGAGGAGAAAAAUUUUUUGGGUGACGUAUGACACCACCACCAGAACCAGAGACACUCUGGCCAAACACAACAUCAUUGGACAACACUUUUAAGAAUGCUACGCCUUCUCCGUUCUGCACUGAUGAGCCAAUGAUAGUGACAACAUGACACAUGACAUCCCUCUGUCCUUAACUUUUAUUUCUGUUUGUGUAUUUGGGUGGUUUUUUUUUGUUGUUGUUUUGGUUUGGUUUUGGUUUUUGGUUUUUAGCUUUUUGUUUUGUUUUGUUUUGUUUCAUUACUCAGUUCUGUUUUGGUGUCGUGGUUUUGUUCUCUCUUUUUUGGCAGUUGUCAUUUUGCACUGUAAAUACCAUGAUGUGAGCUUGUCCUCAGAACAUGGCUUACUUAAUAAUUUAUUAUCUCCUAUUUAUUGAGUGGUAUUGGGAAGUGAGGGGGACCAGCCCUCCUGCUGGGUUGCUAUUGGAAACCCAUCCAUCUCUCAGCUCUGGGUGCUGCUGUCUGUGGUGGGGAAUUAUCACCCAGGUAAUGAGUGCUAGACUUACCAGAUGAAUUGGAACUGCAGAAACAGAGGCUUCUGUCAUACAAAUUAAGUCCAAAUGGAGCUAAAACACUAGUUCUCUUUGGAAAACCUCAUUUAGAUGGAAAUUAAUUGAGGAACUCAAAUGCCUGUACUCGAACCAACUUCUAUUAAAAAGUCACAACUGAAA